CGGCCUACAAUGUUGCCAACCAUUUAUUGAUGUACUAAGAGCAACAAAUGCGUAUAAGAAGCAAUCAUCUGCUGACUUCUUCAAUUUAACAACAGAACCGGGAUAAUUCUUCUCAAGAAUAUAACAAUAUUUUGGUAAUCUGUUGUAAGAGUCACACGGAUUCCCUCGCAGAAACUGUAAUGCUUUUUCCUUUGAUCUCCAUGCUUGCAUGUAGCUUAGGUUGACUCCAUGUUCGGAUAACAUGUCAGUUUGUAUGUCCUUUGGCGUGUAAACAGUCUUAGGAUCACAAAAC
rnacentral:lncRNA from 1 species